rnacentral:rRNA from 1 species
UGCGUAGGCGGCGGGGUAAGUUUGAUGUGAAAUCCCGGGGCUCAACCCUGGAAUUGCAUUGAAUACUACCUUGCUAGAGUACCGGAGAGGAAACUGGAAUUUACGGUGUAGCAGUGAAAUGCGUAGAGAUCGUAAGGAAGACCAGUGGCGAAGGCGAGUUUCUGGACGGUAACUGACGCUGAGGCACGAAGGCCAGGGGAGCAAACG